rnacentral:rRNA from 1 species
AGAGUUUGAUCAUGGCUCAGGAUGAACGCUGGCGGCGUGCCUAAUACAUGCAAGUCGAACGAGGGUAGCAAUACCCUAGUGGCGAACGGGUGAGUAACACGUAGGUAACCUGCCUUUUAGCUUGGGAUACCCGAAGGAAACUUUGGCUAAUACCGGAUAAUAACAACCGAGGCAUCUCGGAUGUUUGAAAGGAGCUCUAAAGCUUCACUAAAAGAUGGACCUGCGGCGCAUUAGCUAGUUGGUGAGAUAACAGCCCACCAAGGCGAGGAUGCGUAGCCGAACUGAGAGGUUGAACGGCCACAUUGGAACUGAGACACGGUCCAAACUCCUACGGGAGGCAGCAGUAAGGAGUUUUCGGCAAUGGGGGGAACCCUGACCGAGCAACGCCGCGUGAGUGAUGACGGCCCUAUGGGUUGUAAAGCUCUGUUAUAAGGGACGAACAGCUUUGCUAGGAAAUGAGCAGAGUCUGACGGUACUUUAUCAGAAAGCCACGGCUAACUACGUGCCAGCAGCCGCGGUAAUACGUAGGUGGCAAGCGUUAUCCGGAAUUAUUGGGCGUAAAGAGUGAGCAGGCGGCAGAUUAAGUUUGAGGUUAAAGCGUGGGGCUCAACCCCAUAAAGCCUUGAAAACUGAUCAGCUAGAGUACGAGAGAUGUGAAGGGAACUCCACGUGUAGCGGUGAAAUGCGUAGAUAUAUGGAAGAACACCAGUGGCGAAGGCGCUUCACAAGCUCGAAACUGACGCUCAGUCACGAAAGCGUGGGUAGCAAAUAGGAUUAGAUACCCUAGUAGUCCACGCUGUAAACUAUGAGAACUAAAUGUUGCCGCGAGGCAGUGUUGAAGCUAACGCAUUAAGUUCUCCGCCUGGGGAGUACGGUCGCAAGACUGAAACUCAAAUGAAUUGACGG